rnacentral:tRNA from 1 species
GCGGGAGUGGCCAAAUCUGGUUAAGGCAAUCGGCUGCAACCCGAUGAUGUGAGGGUUCAAAUCCCUCCUCCCGCU